AACGAACGCUGGCGGCAUGCCUAACACAUGCAAGUCGAACGAGACCUUCGGGUCUAGUGGCGCACGGGUGCGUAACGCGUGGGAACCUGCCCUUAGGUUCGGAAUAACUCCCCGAAAGGGGUGCUAAUACCGGAUAAUGUCUUCGGACCAAGGAUUUAUCGCCUUUGGAUGGGCCCGCGUUGGAUUAGCUAGUUGGUAGGGUAAAAGCCUACCAAGGCGACGAUCCAUAGCUGGUCUGAGAGGAUGAUCAGCCACACUGGGACUGAGACACGGCCCAGACUCCUACGGGAGGCAGCAGUGGGGAAUAGUGGACAAUGGGCGAAAGCCUGAUCCAGCAAUGCCGCGUGAGUGAUGAAGGCCUUAGGGUUGUAAAGCUCUUUUACCCGGGAUGAUAAUGACAGUACCGGGAGAAUAAGCUCCGGCUAACUCCGUG
rnacentral:rRNA from 1 species